rnacentral:lncRNA from 1 species
AUUUUAAAGGACUAUUCUAUCCCUUUUAUAUAAAAAUUUUUUUUUGGGGUUAUUACAUCCUCCCCUCCUUAUAUAAAAUUCGUCCUCGAAUUUAAAAGAGUAAAUUACCUGAUUACUCAAAGGGGUGAGUGUAUUUGCUUUUCAUAUUCUGCUCGGUGUGGUAUUGGGAAUCAAAUAAAUUAGGAGUGUUUUACCUUCUAUCUCUACCACACA